rfam:Oryza sativa (indica cultivar-group) chromosome 5, whole genome shotgun sequence.
CAAAAAUAUAUCGAUAUCAUAUAGAAACUUUGAUCGUCUGUCUUAUUUGAAUUAUUUUUAUAAUUAGUAUUUUUGUUGUUAUGAGAUGAUAAAACAUGAAUAAUACUUUACUCGUGACUUAUGUUUUUAAUUUUUUUAAAAAAAAAUAAAUAAGACGAUUGUUCAAAAUUAGACGCGGAAAAUCAUAGCUGCACUUAAA